GCACAAGCGGUGGAGCAUGUGGUUAAUUCGAAGCAACGCGAAGAACCUUACCAGGUCUUGACAUCCCCUGACAACCCAAGAGAUUGGGCGUUCCCCUUCGGGGGGACAGGGUGACAGGUGGUGCAUGGUUGUCGUCAGCUCGUGUCGUGAGAUGUUGGGUUAAGUCCCCGCAACGAGCGCAACCCUCGCCUCUAGUUGCCAGCAUUCGGUUGGGCACUCUAGAGGGACUGCCGGCGACAAGUCGGAGGAAGGUGGGGAUGACGUCAAAUCAUCAUGCCCCUUAUGACCUGGGCUACACACGUGCUACAAUGGGCGGUACAAAGGGCUGCGAACCCGCGAGGGGGAGCGAAUCCCAAAAAGCCGCUCUCAGUUCGGAUUGCAGGCUGCAACUCGCCUGCAUGAAGCCGGAAUCGCUAGUAAUCGCGGAUCAGCAUGCCGCGGUGAAUACGUUCCCGGGGCUU
rnacentral:rRNA from 1 species